ensembl:misc_RNA Metazoa_SRP Metazoan signal recognition particle RNA
GCCGGGCAUGGUGAUGCAUGCCUGUAAUCCCAGCUACUGGAGAGGCUGAGGCAGGAGAAUUGCUUGAACCCAGGAGGUGGAGGUUGCAGUGAGCUGAGAUUGCACCACUGCAUUUUAGCCUGGGUGACAGAGCAAGACUCGGUCUCAU